UGAGGAUGAACUGAGUGCAUUGAAUUACCACUCUGGAACCUCUCCUUUUUCCCAGAGGAAUUGGCUCCAUCCAUUGAACAGAUAAGGAGCCUGGGGCACACAAGAUGGCUAUUGAUUCAUCCAAGGUCAUAUAAUCUAAUGGACAUCAGAGACAGAAUGAGAAUUAUUGCCAAAGACUACUCCUGCAAAGAAAGAUAUGUGGAGUUUUGAUGAAUACACACUUGAUAAGAAAACUGAUGAGAAGAUCUUCAGUUUUAAUUGCUGUGUUGGAGAGAUUGAAGACACACAGAAUCUCAAAAUGGACCAGACACAUCUCUGAAUUUUUAAAAAUGAACUUGUAGCCAAAGAGCUGGUGAACAGGUUUCCUUGACAUCCUUUAUAGAAUGCCUUAAAUCUGUUCAACAAAACAUACUUGGGGACCUUUUGUGAAAGGACAUUAAAUGUCACUUACCCCAAUGCCUCU
rnacentral:lncRNA from 12 species